ACUGCUCAGUAACACGUGGACAACCUGCCCUUAGGACGGGGAUAAACCCGGGAAACUGGGUAUAAUACCCGAUAGGUCUCGAUUGCUGGAAUGCAUCGAGAUUUAAAGCUCCGGCGCCUAAGGAUGGGUCUGCGGCCUAUCAGGUAGUAGUGGGUGUAGCGUACCUACUAGCCUACGACGGGUACGGGUUGUGAGAGCAAGAGCCCGGAGAUGGAUUCUGAGACACGAAUCCAGGCCCUACGGGGUGCAGCAGGCGCGAAAACUUUACAAUGCUGGCAACAGCGAUAAGGGAACCUCGAGUGCCAGGUUACAAAUCUGGCUGUCGAGAUGCCUAAAAAGCAUUUCAUAGCAAGGGCCGGGCAAGACCGGUGCCAGCCGCCGCAGUAACACCGGCGGCUCGAGUGGUAACCGUUAUUAUUGGGUCUAAAGGGUCUGUAGCCGGCCGGAUAAGUCUCUUGAGAAAUCUGGCAGCUUAACUGUCAGGCUUUCAGGAGAUACUGUCUGGCUCGAGGCCGGGAGAGGUGAGAGGUACUUCAGGGGUAGGGGUGAAAUCUUGUAAUCCUUGAAGGACCACCAGUGGCGAAGGCGUCUCACCAGAACGGACCUGACGGCAAGGGACGAAAGCUAGGGGCACGAACCGGAUUAGAUACCCGGGUAGUCCUAGCCGUAAACGAUACUCGCUAGGUGUCGGCCACGGUGCGACCGUUGUCGGUGCCGUAGGGAAGCCGUGAAGCGAGCCACCUGGGAAGUACGGCCGCAAGGCUGAAACUUAAAGGAAUUGGCGGGGGAGCAC
rnacentral:rRNA from 1 species